ensembl:lncRNA
AAGUCCGGUAGCGAAGAAGAAGGAUAACUUUGCUAACAAACAUGCCGGAGGCACACAAACGAAAACGAAUCGACAACAUGAAUGUGGUAGAUCAUCUAUUGGAGCACAGAUUUGAAACCCUUAGUCUGGAGGAAAAAUUAGAGGAUGGCACAUCGUCCUCCCCGAGCAACAAAGCAGAAAGCCCUGGAGGGUUUUCACCUGAUGGAGGAAGAUUCCAGCAACGAGGACUUAAGCCCCAGUCUCCGGAUUGAAAAUCACAAGCUCUCCCUGCGGCACCAGACAGUGAGUUCAGAUGUUCAGAGGUUCAGUAGAUCAGAGGAUAUAUAUGACCUAACAUUUUUAAAUACAUGACAUAAUUACAAUAUGCGUUUAAAGAACAUCUCUGCUG